rnacentral:rRNA from 1 species
ACACUGACGCUGAAGCGCAAAAGCUANGGGAGCNAACGGGAUUANAUACCCCGGUANUCCUGGCCUUAAACGAUGAAUGCUUGGUGUCUGGGGUUNUANAGUCCCCGGGUGCCGUCNCUAACGCUUUAANCAUUCCGCCUGGGGAGUACGGUCNCAAGACUGAAACUCAAAGGAAUUGACGG